UUAGGCAAGACAGAAUGACUCCUUUUGCAGAUGUUCUAUGGUGGACAGAAGACUCAGGACAUAACAGAGAAGUCCUCCAGCUGUACCUGCAAUUAGGAUUUUUCAUGCUCUAAUGGUUGCACUUGUCCUUUCUACAUCAUUUACGGCUGAGUACUGUCACUAAUAUGCUAACUUGUCCAGGCAGCCCACAAGUCUGUCAUGUUGACAAACCUGGAAAGAGUGCUGAAAGGAAGACAAGAAUAUUUACCAAUACUACUGUAUUUCCUGAUCUGAAAGGAUCUUAAAAAGACUAGAGCUUUAGCCAGAGAUCCAGGAGAGCUGCCUUUAAUUCACCGUUCCAGCACAGACUUUCCAGUUCCUUACACUGGUGAAAUCGAAAAGAUUCCAGUGUCCUGCUGGCUCGGCAAUUGUUAAGAUUCUGCUGUUUCCUGGAAGAUCCCCUUUUGCCUUGAGAAUUUUGAUUGCUUCAAGAAAAGCCCCCUACAAGACAAUGAAGAAGAAAUACAAAGAAAAGAAACUAGAAAUAGGUGUGUAAAUGUACAAAUCUGUCUUCAGAUUGUCAUCUGCAUGACAUCAGUGUUAAUGAGGAGACAUUCAUAAACAUCAUCAGAGAGUGACAGAAUCCAGUUACUCCACUCUCCUCUUCUACAAUGGAUGAACAAUUUGUUGGAGGUGUUUGUAGCUCUUCACUGACUGCAGAGGACACACAGACAGCUAGUUAAGGCUAGAUUAAACUUCAAGAUUAAACUGUCCUUGCAAGAACUAAAAUUAGGAGUUGUAUGACAUUUCUACGCUCUUAAAAACAAACCCAGCUUUGAAUGUCUUGGUUUUCUGAAAACAGAAUUCCACUGCUUUUGAAAUUAUUAUUCUCUUUAUUCCUUCAGAGUGUGAAUGAUGGAAAAUUAUUAGACAUUGGUUAUAUCUUAAUAAAAAGUGCUUAAAAAGCAAGAAGUAUUUAUAUAGUAUCCUAUUAAUCUAAAUUAAACUCAGUUAAGUCCUUCUGGGAUUCUUACAUGGUAUAUUCCAUCCUUAAUGUGUUCACAUAUCUUCCUUUACUGUUAGACUGAAGUAUGUGUAUGUAUCAAGAGAAAAUGACUUCCAUGGGGUUUCAUUUUAAAACUGGAUGUGCAAAUCCUAUUUUUAGGUCAAAUUUUGAAGUCCUUAAUAAGUAUUUUCUGUGUCAUCAUUCCAUCAAGGUUUCUGCAGACCCCUUUUUCCUUUUAAUGAUUUGAUCUCUGGUUACUGUUACUUUCACAUCUAAUUUUUCUGGUAUGUAAAUGUAUCUCUUAAUAUAAAGUUUUAUUUGCAAUGCAAUUUAGGCUGCUUAGGGGUAUUUUAUUUUUAUUUUGUUUUGCUUGCUCUCUAUGGUUUGUAGAUA